rnacentral:rRNA from 1 species
UACAUGGGGUGCAAACGUUGCUCGGAAUUAUUGGGCGUAAAGCGCGCGUAGGCGGUUAUUCAAGUCGGAUGUGAAAGCCCUCGGCUUAACUGAGGAAGUGCACCCGAAACUGAGUAGCUAGAGUACUAAAGAGGGUCGCGGAAUUCCCGGUGUAGAGGUGAAAUUCGUAGAUAUCGGGAGGAACACCGGUGGCGAAGGCGGCGACCUGGGUAGAUACUGACGCUGAGGCGCGAAAGCGUGGGGAGCAAACAGG